UACAUGUGGGGCAAGCGUUGUUCGGAAUUACUGGGCAUAAAGGGUGCGUAGGUGGCUUGUUAAGUCAGGGGUGAAAGUUUUCGGCCCAACCGGAAAAUGGCCUUUGAUACUGGCGAGCUCGAGUGCGUGAGGGGUAACCGGAACGAGCAGUGUAGCGGUGAAAUGCGUAGAUAUUGCUCGGAAGGCCAACGGCGAAGGCAGGUUACUGGUACGCAACUGACACUGAGGCACGAAGGCCAGGGGAGCAAACGGG
rnacentral:rRNA from 1 species